rnacentral:rRNA from 1 species
GACGAACGCUGGCGGCGUGCUUAACACGUGCAAGUCGAACGGUGAAGGGGUCUGCUUUUGUGGGCCCUGGAUGAGUGGCGAACGGGUGAGUAACACGUGAGUAACCUGCCCCCUUCUUCUGGAUAACCGCAUGAAAGUGUGGCUAAUACGGGAUAUUCUGGGUCUGUCGCAUGAUGGGUCUGGGAAAGAUUGCGCCUUUGGGUGUUUUUGGUGGGGGAUGGGCUCGCGGCCUAUCAGCUUGUUGGUGGGGUGAUGGCCUACCAAGGCGGUGACGGGUAGCCGGCCUGAGAGGGUGGACGGUCACACUGGGACUGAGACACGGCCCAGACUCCUACGGGAGGCAGCAGUGGGGAAUAUUGCACAAUGGGCGCAAGCCUGAUGCAGCGACGCCGCGUGAGGGAUGGAGGCCUUCGGGGUGUAAACCUCUUUCGCCAGUGAAGCAGGCCUGCUCCUUGUGGGUGGGUUGACGGUAGCUGGAUAAGAAGCGCCGGCUAACUACGUG